UAGGUAUUAGUAAAAUCAUUACAUAACUUUGUCAAAGUUAAAUUACUGGUUAAACUCCUGUAUAUCUUU
rnacentral:tRNA from 1 species